CAGAUGCCAGACGUUUUACUAUUCAAAUAAGGCCCCAGUGUUUUUCUUACAAUGCAGGAGACAUAUUGUACUCAGGAUGAGCCCUUCUAGCCACAUAUAUUUGGCUGAUUUCUUGCUUCCAAAAUGAAAUACGAACAGGGAACUCUGAGAUAAGCACACAGACACAAAGUCAAGACAGCCAAACAAAAAUGCACAUGGCUGAAAGAAGGCUAAUCAAAGGCACAGGAUUGAAAGCAAAGAGAAUGAAGGCAGGGCAGGUGAGUUUGUCUUACCACUCUUCAAUCCUGACUCACACAGCAACAAUUAAUAAUGAUAAUAAAACGUACCCACGUAGGGCUUGUCAAAUAAUUCCACCAGGGACUUAAGCUAUCAGAUCUUGUUAAAAGCAGCAUUAAACACUCACCUUUUCCAACACUGACUUAGCCAUGGAAGCCACGCAGUAUGUAUGGAACAUGCAAGGCAAUACAAAUAAACCAAGAUACUUGCAAGCAGCCAAAUAUGAAUAAAUGGAGAGAGGAACAAGUUUAGCGGUGGAUUAGAAAGCAGUUCAAGGGAUAUCUAUCAAUAUAUCUAGGAUCAAAAAGUUUCACUUUAAGAAAAGAGUUAAGGCGCUUAAAAAUUCACUCAUGCUCCAAAAAGCACGUAAAUUGAUUUUGAAAAACUAAGCAAAAAGGCAUGCGCUGGCUGAACACAUGAAACACAUUUACUUCUCACUAGGUAUUAGGGAGCAAUUCCACUCAGUUUGCAUUUUAAGGCGAACCUAUGUAAUU